rnacentral:rRNA from 1 species
GACAGAGGAUGCAGGCGUUAUCCGGAAUGAUUGGGCGUAAAGCAUCUGUAGGUGGCUUUUCAAGUCCGCCGUCAAAUCCCAGGGCUCAACCCUGGACAGGCGGUGGAAACUACCAAGCUGGAGUACGGUAGGGGCAGAGGGAAUUUCCGGUGGAGCGGUGAAAUGCAUAGAUAUCGCUUGGAACGCCAACGGUGAAAACAGGUUGCUGGGGGUGUGCUGACGCUGAGACACGAAAGCCAGGGGAGCGAACGGG